rnacentral:rRNA from 1 species
UACGGAGGGGGCUAGCGUUGUUCGGAAUUACUGGGCGUAAAGCGCGCGUAGGCGGACCUGCAAGUCGGGGGUGAAAGCCCGAGGCUCAACCUCGGAACUGCCUUCGAUACUGCGGGUCUCGAGUCCGGGAGAGGUGAGUGGAAUUCCUAGUGUAGAGGUGAAAUUCGUAGAUAUUAGGAAGAACACCAGUGGCGAAGGCGGCUCACUGGCCCGGUACUGACGCUGAGACGCGAAAGCCAGGGGAGCGAACCGG